UGGGGGUCGAGGCUGUGUUUGCAAAUAAAUGUCCACCACUGGUUUCCCAAAUCCGAUCCCUGAUACCUUGUAAAUGACAGUUCGGGUAUUUGGAGUCCACAGGUUGACAUUGAAAACCAGAGACCAAAGGUCCAUUGGAUGUCCGGCCAUUGAAGCCCAAUGGCUAAAGCCCAGGAGGCCUGUCUUGGAAUUGGAUGACUCGCCGUGUGUGCGUGUGGUGGAUAGAAGGGAGAAAAGAGACUUGUUUUGCUGUUUUGUCUUGUUGCAUGUUCUGCCAAACAUUGUGAAUAUGCUGUGCUGGAUCCAGAAAGUGGCAAUACCUGCGAGCUGUCCCACCACACCCUCAGGUUCGAGGUUUCGUGGCACUGGAGAUGGGGGGGAUUGGAGGUCCGUGUC